AGCUGCUAGCGAAAUUACUAGGGUGCGCUCUGCGCAGUAGGGCCGUAGAGGCCAGCCGGACGCGCCAUGACCGCAGGGAGUGCGUGUGGCUGGGCCGCGGGGGUCCUUGGCGUGGUCUUCCUGGCGCUCCAGUUCGACUCCAUCAGCUGUAAUUCCCCGAUGUUUGGAACUGUGAACGGGAGCGUAACUUUCCCUGUAUCAAGCUCUGUACCCUUUACUGAGAUUAUGUGGACAAAAAAUAGGGAUAAAGUCCUUGAAUGGGAAGCAGACUCUCCCGUGAGAGUUUUCCCACCUUUUGUAGACAGAGUUCAUUUAGACACCACAUCAGGAAGCCUUACCAUCUUCAACCUAACAUCUUCGGAUGAGGGGGACUAUAAACUGGAUUCUUCGAGCACUGGUGACACUUCGUUCACUCUGAAGGUGAUUGGUCCUCUUCCGUCUCCAACACUAAAUUGCACCUUGGCUGCUGAAGACAUUACAAUCAAUUGCAGGAUCCCAGAAUCUUACAGUUUCACACAAUAUUUAAACUAUUCAUGGAACUGCUUUCCGGCACUGUGUAAAAAUGGCUCCAAUAUGUCUGAAGUGUUGAUUAAGAGGAACAAUGAUCUCUCGCAGGAAAUACGCUGUACUGUUCACAGUCCGUUGUCCAAACAGACAUCCUUGCUUGUCUUAGCAACCUGUGUCCCAGAUGCCCCAGUUGACCGGUACUUCAAGAUGAUCAAAUGUGUAGUAACUAAGUUAUUUAAAUAAUGGAAUCAAAAGCCAUCUGAUUUGCCGUUCAAGUAUUCUGUCAUCUUCAAGGACAUUUUGGAACUCUAAUCUGAAGUGACCCUCCACUAGAAGAGUCUUUUUUUAGAAGAAAUAUCAACUAUUAACCAGAACUAGUAUCUACCCUAUCCCUGCUCUGGUCUCCAACUAGAUACUGUAAAUGGUUUUUGAUUCUCAGUUUCUUACUGCCAAUUUUCUAUCAGAUAUACACGUGUAAAUAUGUAAGUAUAUCCUAAAUGGUA